AGGAAGCCUGGCUGGGUGACUUGCAAGCUAUUUCUAGAAAGGCUGAGUCUUCCCACCACCCUUAGUGACAAAGUUCAAAGCUCUGAUAAUUUCAUGGUCUGAGCUCUCCUGCUGAGCGACCAGGACCUAAAAUAAAUUCAUCCCUACUGUGGUGUGACCUCGGUGGUGGCCUUUUGAAGACUUGGAAAGACUGCAGAGGGCAUGUGGGCACCCCAUCCAUCUUCUGAUGAGUGGAACUGGGUAACUGGACAUCAGAAAGGCUCCAGGGUCUACAUCCGUGCAGCCUCCCUGGUCCUGGAUGGAAUCAACGCUUU